rnacentral:rRNA from 1 species
CCUACGGGGGGCUGCAGUGGGGAAUAUUGGACAAUGGGCGAAAGCCUGAUCCAGCCAUGCCGCGUGUGUGAAGAAGGCCUUCGAGUUGUAAAGCACUUUCAGUGGGGAAGAAAGCCUUGGGGCUAAUACCCUCGAGGAAGGACAUCACCCACAGAAGAAGCACCGGCUAACUCCGUGCCAGCAGCCGCGGUAAUACGGAGGGUGCGAGCGUUAAUCGGAAUUACUGGGCGUAAAGCGCGCGUAGGCGGUCUGAUAAGCCGGUUGUGAAAGCCCCGGGCUCAACCUGGGAACGGCAUCCGGAACUGUCAGGCUAGAGUGCAGGAGAGGAAGGUAGAAUUCCCGGUGUAGCGGUGAAAUGCGUAGAGAUCGGGAGGAAUACCAGUGGCGAAGGCGGCCUUCUGGACUGACACUGACGCUGAGGUGCGAAAGCGUGGGUAGCAAACAGGAUUAGAUACCCCAGUAGUC